rnacentral:rRNA from 1 species
CCUACGGGGGGGCUGCAGUGGGGAAUAUUGGACAAUGGGCGAAAGCCUGAUCCAGCCAUGCCGCGUGUGUGAAGAAGGCCUUCGGGUUGUAAAGCACUUUCAGUGGGGAAGAAAGCCUUGGGGCUAAUACCCUCGAGGAAGGACAUCACCCACAGAAGAAGCACCGGCUAACUCCGUGCCAGCAGCCGCGGUAAUACGGAGGGUGCGAGCGUUAAUCGGAAUUACUGGGCGUAAAGCGCGCGUAGGCGGUCUGAUAAGCCGGUUGUGAAAGCCCCGGGCUCAACCUGGGAACGGCAUCCGGAACUGUCAGGCUAGAGUGCAGGAGAGGAAGGUAGAAUUCCCGGUGUAGCGGUGAAAUGCGUAGAGAUCGGGAGGAAUACCAGUGGCGAAGGCGGCCUUCUGGACUGACACUGACGCUGAGGUGCGAAAGCGUGGGUAGCAAACAGGAUUAGAUACCCUAGUAGUC